UUUUUUUUUUUUUUUCCACUCAAGCUUAAUUUCCAUCAUGGUUAGUAUGGGCCCAUUCUACUCUGUAUCUCCUCAGUUGGGAUCGUGGUUGACAGAAGAGCCACCAACAUUACUAGUACUGUGCCAGAGGAGAAAGAAAAAUGGAGAGUGUCACACUGGUGAUUAAUAGACUAAAAGGUGACACAUACCAUUUCCACUGACAAAUAAUUGACCAGAACUAAUUAUGAGGGUAUACCCAGUGGACCAGGGAACUUGUGAUGAUAACACAUUAUCAAGAGACAGUGAGAUCUCAGAGAAGAUGACCCACUAAUACCCCUGGGAAGACCAGCCACCCCAGUUGUUCCCAUGUUUUCAGUAGGUACAGAAGAAACAGAAUCACAGGUCUCAAGAAAACCAUGCAGCCUGGGACAGUAGGUAGACCAGUAUGAACCAGUGUAUCCCACACAGAGUGAGAAAGUGGACCAGUGCAGACCAGUGACUGGGGUGGGUCAAGGGAAGGGCCCUGUCAUUUUAUCAUGGGACUUUUGUACUACUCUGGGCAAUGGAGGGUACAAAUACAGAAGUGAUUGAGAUUGAACUUCCUUCCAUGGGAUGCUCAGCAUUAGUUUUAAGUGGAUUUAAAGAAAAGUGAUAUUUCUGACAUACCUGAGAUUGUAGAAUAGGCUUCAUAUCCACCAGAGCUGUUGUCUGUGUAAACUGCACUAGUUCAGCACUUAAUGCAGAGCAUUUUAAAGGGUGAUUUCUUAAAUGCUUUAGAUGAUGAUAAAAUUAACUCUUUGGGUACUUUAGCACUGACUAAAUUAAUGUAUUGACUUAGAAAAACUCAGACCUAUAAUCUUUCUAAAUUCAUAUUGGAGCUCAGUUUGGAGCAAUGAAUCACUGGUCCUUAAUCAUUUCUUUGUGAUUGUGACAGGUGAUUCUUUUUCAUCUGUUAGAAAAUCUUACACACAUUCAGCUGGCAUUUUUCUACCAUGUUCUCUGCUUGCCUUGCUUUUAUCUCAAAAUAAAUGGAGGGUAUUAGCCAUGUAAUCAUGAGAAAGUAGUUACAGUAAAAGUUGAACUGAUACAGUCUUGUUUGAAAAAAAAAAGCCUCACUCAUCUGGUGAAGAUUGCCUUACUUGACACUCUUGGAAACAUCUACUGUAAUCUUAGCCACUGUGCCACCAUAAAUGUGCAUUUAAUGAAGAUCAAAAUCUGCAAUUAAAAUAGUACAUUUCGGAGUUCCUGUUGUGGCUCAGUGGUUAACGAUCCCGACUAGUAAGCAUGAUGUUGCAGGUUCGAUCCCUGGCCUUGCUCAGUGGGUUAAGGAUCUGGUGUUGCCGUGAGCUCUGGUGUAGGUCACAGACGCGGCUCAAAUCCCACGUUGCUGUGGCUGUGGUAGAAUGUUGCACUUUCCCACGAUGAAAUGUACACAUUGUAUUUUAUUUUUAAAUUUUAUGUUUUAUUACAGUAUAGUUGAUUUACAAGAUUGUGUUAAUUUCUGCUGUACAACAUGAUUCCGGUGUAUGCGUAUAUACACACACACACACACACAUAUGCAUACACACUCUUUUUAAUAUUCUUUUCCAUUAUGAUUUAUCAUAGGACAUUGAAUAGAGUUCUCUGUGCUAAUUUCUGCCCACUUUGUGGACCUAAUUUUCUCCAGGAAAAUUAAAAAAAAAAAUCUGUGUAUUGUCCAGGAAAACUCAUUUAUAGGAUUAGUUAGUAUACUUUUAACUGAGUUUAAGUGCCCUGGCUCAUUUCUGACUUUAUAUAUAUAUAUGAUUUGUGUCUUCUUAUUGUAGUUCCCUACUAGAAACUAGUUGAUAAUUUUCCUUAAGUAAUAGCGACCAGAUGUUCUUAGAGAGACUCCUGGAUUUGGCAUAUGUUGUUUGCUAUGAAUUCUAUUUCGCAAAAUUGUAAUAAAAUAUAAUUUUUAAGAAAAUUGUAUAAAUAUAUGAACAUCAGGUUUUACAUUUAUUAAGAAUCGACAUUUUUCUUGAAUGUGGUUUUGAGGUUUGCUCCUAGAUAAUAAAUCUACAUGUGGACUAUUCCUUUAAACAUAUCCUAAUACAAUCUGUCUUAUAAACAAAUCAAUUGAGAGAGCAUUUUGGAUGUAAUUUAAAAAUAUGGAGGGAGAUACACUGUCUUCAGAAAUAAUAAAAUUUUUGCUUACUGACAAAUUUCCUGAGAUGGUUUGCACUCUACUUAUUUUAGCUUCAAUCAAACAAAUCUUUGAGUUCCCAUCGUGGCUCAGCAGAAACGAACCUGACUAGUAUCCAUAAGGGUGUGGGUUCGAUCUCUGGCCUCGCUUAGUGGGUCAGGGAUCUGGCAUUGCUGUGAGCUGUGGUAUAGGCAAAACAAAACAAAACAAAACCUAUGUAUGAAAUCCGGAAACUUUUAAAUCACAACAUAAACCAUAGGAAUGCAGUUUACUUAAGUCAGGCUUUAAUUUAAGACUGUUAUUUUAAGGACUUCCCACCAUGGUGCAGUGCGUUAAGAAUCCGACUGUGGCAACUUAGGUUUCUAGGGAGGCGCAGGUUCAAUCCCUGGCCCUGGGAUGGGAACUUCUAUCUGCCAUGGGUGUGGACAUUAAAAAAAAAAAAACAAAAAACUUGUUUUAUAUCAUGAUUGCAUCUCUGUUUUCCAUUCUGCUCACAUCUUAAGAGGUGCGUGUGUGUGUGUGUGUGCAUGUAAAUUACACAGUGCAUCUUGGGAUUCAUUGUAGUGAGUCACUUGGAAAAUUUUUCCAAAAAUGCUUGGAGUUGAUUUUUUUUUCCCAAUGCAAUUUCAAUUGCCACUAGUUCACCUCGUCAUCUUAUAUGGCAAGAAACCAACUGAUGCAGGUUUUAUCUCUUUGGCUAAAGAAUGAAUAGAUAUUUUAAAAGUGUGUAGUGUCCUGUUUUCUUUGACAACUAUAAUUUUUCCCAGGGGGUAAUUACCAGAAUAACUGCUUGUUAAUUAUACCUUUGCUUUGGGCUAAUACUUAUUCUCAUGAAAAAUAUUAUUAUUUCUGGUAGUCUCUAUUGAAGACCAGUCCGUGGGGGCCAUCCUAAGUCGGGCGGGGGGUGGGGGGGAAGCAUACAUGUUAAUAUGAAAAUAUACUCAUUUUAAUUUCAUCACCUUCUGUGACCCAAACCUUUGUGUAACGUGAUUUUGCUUUCUUUAUUCUGUAUUGUCAGCAGUAAAGUAACAGAAUAGAUUCUUCUCUGUAUGCCUAGAGGGUUUUUUCCCCAAAACCUAUAUGAUGUUUUGCUUCUACUACGUAAGAAAGGUUAAAACACACAGUGGGCCUAUCACUGUCUCCAGAAUUGCUACUGACCUUAAUCAGCUGAGUGCAUGACAAGAAUUGUGAAACAUUUUACAGUUUUCCUUCUUCUUCCUUGAUUCUUAAACAGCAAUAAAAUCUCAUUCAGCACUUCAUGUUGGGAUAGAAAGGAAACAGAAAUAUAAUUCAUUUCAUGGAUGUGGUGAGAUAAAGAAAUACUGGGGUUUUAAUUUUAGCAGUACCUUUGAAGUUAAAUAGGAGAAUAUGAGGUAGAAAAAGAAUUGUUCUUCCUCUGAAACUCUGACCUUCUUGUCACUGUCUCAACAGUGACUUGCAAUUUCAAAUCUCUCUUUGAAUAAUAAGGCAGUAUUUCCGUUGCUUGUGAAGUGAGAAAUGAAUGUUAAAUACCUAGUCACUGAGCUUUCAUUUGCUUACUGUGACAAAACCAGUGACCCAGGAAUCAUAAGUGACCGCUAAUGUCUAGCUGCUGGCUCUCAUGCUGUGGAUUUUUGUGGUGCAAAUUGUCAUCAUGUGUAGACUACUUAAUCAAGCUUCUGAGAAAUUACCAAAGAAUUUUUUUAAAAAAGAAAAAGUCACCAGAGAAAAUCACAGCAGAUACUGCACAUGAAGCACCAAAUUUCAGAUGUCACUCUUUCUCUGCAUAUGUAAAAACCUCUUAGAGAAGUUGUCAUUUUUACAUGUUAGCAAGCAUAUAACAUUUCCUUCUAGUUAAAAAUCUCCGCAGGUGAAUUGUCAUUUUAAAAUGACAGAAAGUGUGUAGCGUUUCCUUCUUAGUUACUGCAGAAUGAAGUUAUUUGAGUGUGUGACACAAUUGCUCCGCCAUCUAAAAUUCUGUUCUAAGCACUGGAGAUCUGUCAGUGAGCAAGGCAGGCGAGCUGUGCCUGUGCCUAGUAAUGUCACAUCAUUAAUGAAGGGGUUGGGGACCACAGAUCAUUUGCAAGAAGGUAUAUCUAUCAUAAAUGGUCUGAAGAAGAUGCAAGUAUAAAGUAGGGUCAUAGGAGGGGCUCACAACCUCAUGAUGGGUGAUCAGGGAGGGUCUUUCUCUAAAGAGAUUUUUACAUUGAGACCUGGGUGACAAGGACCCAGACAUGGGAAUUUCUAGGGAAAGUGCACCUCAAGCAGAGAGAACUUCUAGGACAAAAGCUUUGAGCUAGUAGAGUUUCUAGGCACAGAAAGGAAAGUGGACAGAACAGAGGGAGGAGGAGCAGACAAGGACAGGGAAGCAGACAAGGGCUAGGUCAUGAAGGAUUCUGCAGGAUUUGGUAAGUGGUCUGAAAUCUAGUCAUUGAAGAUGAGAAGCCAGUGGAAGGAGGACUGGCUUGAUCGGAAUUAUGUUUUUAAAAUAGUACUUUUCUCUUUGUGUGGAGAAUGAAUUGAAUGAGAGGAAAGAGUGAAAAGAGUAAGAGGCAUCCAAAGAAAGAAUAAUGAUGCGUCCACUUCCAGUCAGAAGCAGAGCAUUCUCUUCAGGACUCUUCAAAUUGCCCUUGUUCUGAAAUGCCUCCUACGGCCACAAAAUAAAAAUGCUGCCUAUCUAGGUGUUCCCUCUGUUACACAGAGAGUUAAGGAUCCCUUGCCACAGCUACAGCAUAGGUCACAGCUUCAGCUUGAAUAUGAUCCCUGGCCUGGUAACUUCCAUAUGCUAUGCGAAUAGCCAAAAAAAAAAAAAAAAAAAAAAAAAAAA
rnacentral:lncRNA from 1 species